rnacentral:lncRNA from 1 species
UAAUAAUUCAAUGAUAAAAAGAGAAUGAAAUUUCCUUCUUUAGAUUUGCCAGAUUGCUCUGUAAACAUCCUCCCAAAGGGUACUUCCCUGGUCUCUAGCACAGCCAAGGGUGGGUGGAAAGAAACCCAUCACCAAGUGAACCGAGAGAACCAGUGAGGGUAAGCUUGGCCACUUGGGCUAUGGAUGUCAAUCAAGCUAUGUGUUGGGGGAAAGUGGGAGGAAGUUUGUCACCCGUUUUAAUAUCUGAAAUUCCUUUACGUGGGUGGUAACUGGGGAACAGCUGCAGGUAGCUGAGUCAUAGCCCAAAUCCUAGCAAAAAAAAAAAAAGAAGAAGAAAGAAAGAAAGAAAGAAAGAAUAAAGAAAAGAAAAACUGCUAGUGGGACCCCCGCCAGCAACUGAGCAAAGGCUUCUCAAGCUGGAACUCAGCAAGUCACACUGGCCCAAAGAUGAAGAAGGCCACCCUCCUCUGGACUGUCUGCUGGAAGGAAGGCAUGGCGACCAGAGGGAGCCUGGAUUGCCCUGGCUUCGGGUUCUGAGCUAAAUCAUUGAGUGACUGCAGAUGGGACCUCUCACCUCCCUGGGCCUCUUGCUUCCUCAUUUCCAUCUAGAGGCCACAGGGUGGAUCUCACUGGCCUGUGUGGAGCUUGGGAAACUUGACAGCUGCGUUUGGAACUCUUCUGUAAGAAGACAGAGCAAACACUGGAGAGGCUGAGUAUGAAGAAGGUGGAGUCUGAUGCCAGUGAGGAUGGCACCAGCAGUAACACCAGCAGAGACAGCCACAGUCAGCCAGAGGCAAAGGUAGGUAACUAAGCAACCCUGCUGUUUCAUCUGUGUAGACAUAGUUUCUGUUCUG